CUCAAUCUCGUAGGAAUAAUAAAAUGCAUGAACUGAUAAAACUCCCUCUCAAAGACAGAAGCCCAGUUUGGGCAAUAAACUUUGCAUUUAAUCAAAAUCAAAAUAAGUUCAUAAAUCCAGAUCGGGCAGAUAACACGAGCAAAAAGAAAAAAGUUACAAAAAUAUUAGUCUCGGGGUCGGGGAAGGGCCUAAUCUAGGUCGAUGGGGUCGCUCCCUCCUCCAUUGUCGGGGGUCCCAGUAUCGUCGUCAUCAUCAUCCCCAUUACCCUCAGAGGAGGAUAGCUUGUGGUCCUUAGCGAGCUCAUUCACAAUCUUUAACUCCUCCACUACGGGCUUCAAAUCCUCGGAGAGCUUGGUCCUAAGGAAUGAACGAGCUAGCCGCAACCCAUAGUAAUACGAGCCAGACCCGUACUGACCCAGGAGAGUCUUGAACUAAUCAGACUUCUUAAAGUCAUCGAUGGCCUGAACUUGGGCUUCUGCUCGAACAUUCAUAAGCUCCGCCUUAAAAGAGCUAACCCGACCUCGCCCUCAGCCUUCCUAAGGUCCACCUUGGCUGUCGCCAGGGUCCUUUCAAGCUCCAGGGCCCUCUUAAACGCAACCUCGCUCUUAACCUCGAGCUCGGCUAUGCGAUCUGAGGAAUUCAAGCCCUUGAGCCCCAAACCCCGAUCUACGCUUAGUGUCUGCAAAAAUAAGUAUGGAGCCCGACGUUAGUGAUCGGUAUUAAAUGGCACGCCGCAAGUGCACGGGUCGCGAUCAAGUAGUAUAAUGGACCUUUUAAAUCCCAGUUGAUCCCUCAGAGAGUGUUGUUUUCAAUUACAAGUGUAUUUGUUUCAAAUUAACAAAAAAGAUACACACAUUUAAAAGUUCGAUUUUAAAAACUAUAAAAAGGCGAAAACUCGAUUUUGAUUUAAAAUACUUAAAUAAUACUUAAAAAGUGGAAAAGUUUGAUUUUAAAAGAUGUUGGAAUUUAUGAUUUCACUCGACCCUUUUUAAGCCAAUUAUGCGUCGAUGCAAAUUACCAAAAUAUGUGGUUAGACCCAAUUUUUCAAAAUUAGUCAAUAACCUCUGUCGAGCGAUAUCAACCCUAAUUGCUUGGCAUUAACAUAUUUCUAUGUCUUUCUAAACCAAACAACUGCAUUCAAUUUUUGUGAAAAUAACUCAACGAGUCACAUAGGGUAGGUAUACAUGUCUGGAUACCUAAACGCGUAUAAUCGAAACCAUACAAACCUAUGGUAUUAAUUAUUUCGGUCCAUUAUGUGCAACUAUUUUUCAAUAAUUAUGCAACUACCUAACCACAACAUCUAUUGACGCCAAAUAAAUGUAGUAAUCUUAAACAUGAUAAUUAAUACACCAAUAUUUUGAUAACACAUGCAUAUCUAACAACAUAUAACACGAUAUUAAUGAAAAUAGGUUAAGCUAAUACAUAAAUUCCAACAUAAACUUGUUUAGUUCAUCAUUCUAACAAAAUAACAAAGAGAUUCUCAUAAACAUAUCAUUUAAUAACAUGAAGAACUAAAUGAAAGAAAUACAAAAGUUGAGAUAAAACCCUUUUAAAUACGAAUUGUAAUUCCUUCAAUGUAUUUUUCAAGCUUUCCUUAAUGAUCUCCUUGCUAUAUCCACUUGAUUCCCAAAAUAAAACUAAAAUUAAUAAAAGAAAAUAAAACUAAAAGAAGAAAAAUCAAUAAAAAGAGAGAGAGAGAGAGAGAGACCAAGAGAGAUAGAGAGAAAAGUGAAAGAGUUGGGGAAUUUUUUUUUUUACCUACCAAGUUAUAUUAGUAUAUAUAUGGAAUAUGUAUAAAAUAUAAUAUAAAAAAAGAUAUUAUUAGACACAUAAAUAUCCUAAAAAUAUCUAGC
rnacentral:lncRNA from 1 species